rnacentral:lncRNA from 1 species
CCUUUAGAAGAAAAAUAAAUAUAGUGAUAGCUCUUCUCUAGAGUGAUUUUUCUUUUAUGAUCUUUACAAAAAUAACUCACAAUCAAUGAUCAAAAGUUGAAGUAUUUUUUACAAGUGUAGAGAGAAUUUAUGGUACUUCAAUAUCUUCUCAACAAAUCCAAGGGUUGCAUUUAUAAUCCAAAAACGAGUUCUAGUUGUUUCAGCAUUAAAUUUACUGAACUAGCCGUUCUGCUUUGAACUUAGUCAUUGGAUCUGUGAUUUUGAUGUGCCGGAUUAAAAUUCAAAUUUCGGUCGUCAACUUCGGUUGACCGAACUUAACUUCGGUCGUCCCCAAAUCUUUCAGUUCAACUUUUAGUCAUCAAUUAAUAACUUCAGUCGACCGAAUAUUAACUUCGGUCAUGAUUAAAACUUUCUGAUCAAACUUCGGUCGAGGUCGUACAACUUCGGUUGUCAAGUUCCAUGAACUUCGGUUGACGGAACUUGUGACUUUUUCAGCAUUUUGACAGUUCUUUAUUUUCUUCAAGAGUGUUAACGAGUCGAUCGAUUUUUUAUGCAUCUAAAUCUCUUUUUCAAUGUGUGCAUGCUUAUAUUUGAUUAACUCUAUAUAAUAAUUUUCAAAACAUUUUUAAACAUACAUAUCUAAUAAUCAAAAUGAAAUGUAAACUUUAUUCUAACAAUCUUCCCAUUUUUUAUGAUGACACAAUCUAGUUUUUGAAUAUCAAUAUUCGUCUGAAAUUACAUGAUCUCCUUAGUUUGAGCUCCCGCUUACUUCAUACUUAUCAAACUUUUCUCAGAUUUUAUGUCAUGAAGUAGAUUUCAAACAUUGAAUAAUGAGAUUUAUAGGAUAGAGUAUACUAUAUCGAGUUUGUCUAGUCAUUUCUCUCUUUUUUCUUCAAUUCCUAUACGGAGACUUUCAAGUUAAUUCAAAGCAGUUUAAAUAUCAAAGAGUAUAUGCACAUGAUGUGCCAAAAUGGUCAUAAUGAUGUCAAUUCCAAAGCAAAUUCAUAGCAUAAUACGAUCAAAUAUCCAAAAAAUACUUAAAAACUUAAAGCUUAAAAAAUCCCGAAAUUUAGCAUACAACACAUACAUAUAAAAAAACUUAUACUAACUUCAAAGACCUAACUUUUCUUCUCCCCUUUAGGGCAUCAUCAAAACGGUGGGGGUAGAGGAGUGGAUACAGGAAAAGUGGGCGGAGGAUUUGAUGAGAUCCAAUGGUACUCCAUUCGAGUUUCAAGAGCAGAUAAACAAUCAAGAUAUUGAUUAUAGAAGUCCAUAUGUUGUUGGUACAACUUCUCAUAGUCGUAGUCGAUCCGCUCAUUGUAUGUGCCAUGCAAUUCUUGAUUUACUAUUUGUUCCAAAUGAAACUAUUUUUGAAAUGUAUACUAGAUUUGUCGAUAUUAUAAAUGGUUUAAAAUCUCUCGGUAAAAUCUAUACUAAUAUGAAAAUGGUAAAACAAAUACUCAUAUGUUUACCAAGAAGUUGGGGACCAAAUAUGUCACUGAAGAAGCAAAAGACCUUACAAAAAUGGGGUUUGAUGAAUUACUCCGAUCUGUCAUGACACAUGAGAUCACUUUAAAGAGUAAUGAGGAAAGUAAUGAAAAUAAGAGGAAAAGAGAAAUAACCUUCAAAACAUCAUCAUCACAAGACAGUGAUGAAAUAAAAAAUGAUGAUGAAAGUGCUGAGAAAAUGACUCUUUUCACUCAAAGAUUCAACAUUCUUUUACUUGACAUGUUCCCUCGUGAGUGACCUCUAAUUUAUCCCAAAUUGUUUUAGUCAUUUUACAAUACACUAUUGUAUGUUGAAAAAAAGUUAAAGUUUGGGUUGAUUUUGACCCAAUUAUUUUUGUGUAGAAUAAAUUCUACUAUGCAAGUAGAUAACUGUAGUAUAUUCACUUGAUCAAAACGGAUAAAAGGUGAAUAGAAAGAAUAGAAAGGCUUAAAAUUUAUUCCUCCAAAGGUUCUCUAAUACAAUGUAGGAAUUAAAUUAGGAAAGAUAAUAAUGAAAAUAAAGAGAGAAUUAUUAUAUAGUCACAUGACGCUUUAUACCUACCCAAGAUAAGAAUUUCCUAUUAAAUAAGGAAAUUAAUCUCCAACAAUCCCCUCCCGUCUUCCCCCUAAGCUACUUGCGACGAUAUCCGACGAGCCCCAGCUUUGACCAUAGAUGACUUCAAUAAUGGGGGGGCCAAUAGACUUAGUGACACCAUGUCAGCAGCUGAGCAGAAGAGUGAACAAACAGGAGUGCUAACCCCUAAACGAACUUUUUCCCGAUGAAGUGAAUAUCAACUUCAUGUGGCUUUGUUCUCUCAUGGAGAACUGAGUCCAAGAGGAUAACUGAUAGCUGACUUAUUGUCAGCCAACUAGUAAGGAUGGAGUCUGUCACUGAGAAACCCAACUCAGUUAGAAGGGACUGAAGCCAAAUAAUUUCACUUGUUCCCUAAGCCAUGGCACGAUACUCAAUUCAGCUUCUUGCAGAAGAUCGAGAGACAACUACUUGCUUCUUACUUUUCCAACGAUAUGAGAUGACUUCCAUGAAAGGUACAAACUAGAGUGGAGCGUCUAUCAGCUCUUAGACCCCCGCAUAAUCAUGCAUUUGUAAAGGCAUUAGAGACUCCGAUGGGGACUCCAGACUUAUUAAGACAAUCCACAACCGGGACAGCUAAUUUAAGAUACCAAAGAAUGUUGUACCAACAUCUAGGUGAGAGGUACGCGGCGAGUGCAUAACUGGCUCACACCUACUGACACUGCAAAUGUGAGAUCAGGUUUUGUAUUCGUCAAGUCAAUUAGGCGAGACCUACAAGUCACUUGUAGAUAGAUGGAUCUGGCAACAAUUCCCCUCUGCCUCGGCUACUAUCCCUUCAAGUUUGGUACCAUAGGCGUAUAGAUGCAGUCUACAAACCAGCAUGCCUCGUUAUCGUUAAAAGGAGAUCAAUGGAAUACUUCCGUUGGGGAGAGAGAGAUACCAUGGCGAGAUCGAGCAACCUCAAUACCAAGGAAGUAAUGAAUGAAGACCCAGAUCCUUAAUUCCCAAAAGCUUUCUUAAGCCCACAUUUCACUUGACUAAAUGCCAGAAGUAUCGUCUCCUCCCGUGAUAAUAAUGUCAUCAAACAUAAACUAAAUCAUAAUGCAAGCAAAACCUACCUGAGACUGGUCGAAGAAUAAAACAAGUAUGAUCGGAAGUUGCACUGCUUGAAAACCCUAAUUAAACUUAUACCUCACUCUUAAACGGUAGAACGCAAGCCCGAGGAGCUGCUUCAGGGCCCAUAAAUAGAUUUUUCGGAGGCGACAACAUUUCCCCAAAUACUCCCCUAAGCCGCAAAAGCUUGAGGUGGAUUCCAUAUAUAAGUCUCCGAGAGAUCACCAUUAAGGAAAGCAUUUAUUGACAUCCAAUUGGUGAGAGGCCACGAGUGAGAAGGCCUAAUCAAGGGAAUCAGAAGACGAAUGGUUAUUUAAUUUGGCAACUGGGGCAACAUAGCACCAACAUCCUUACUAAACUCUGAGAAAACCCUUAGCAACCAGACGAGCCUAUAAAUCGAUCAACUGAGCCAUCCCCGCCAAAUAAAACUUUGACAAGACUAAACAUUACUUUGACACAAACACCCAUUUUACAAUCCAACAUGCGCUCCCUUUCGUAAAGCAAUAUAAGAUUCCAAGUCCAAGUUCGUUGAAGAGCCUCAUCUCCGACUUCAUGGUAGACAACCACAAAGGUUCUGGAGAGCCUCUGGGACUGAGCGAGGAAUGGAAAUCGAUCACAACCUGACAAUAAGACCCCUUAUAGAAUCGAAAACAAAACCGUGAUAGACUAUAUUUGUGGCAUAGGAUUGAUUAGUUACUAUUGAAAAGAAAAAAACGGGAGUGGGACGACGAACACGAGUAGGAUACCGAGAUUGGGGAAUAUCAGAAAGUAAAGGAGGUAAAAUCCUGACUCUGAGGAAAGAUACUGGCAAGGGAGCCUGAGCGCGGGGACCGGGGCCUGAGAGGCGAUCGGGGGGUAGGGAGCAAUUUGGUGGAGGAGUGAUAAAAAGGAAGGCUUCAAGAUAGGAAGAGGACAAGGGAUGUAUGAGUUCAUUUCCGCAAGUAUCUCAGAACAGAACUCAGAGGAAAGAGAGAAUCCGAAAAAAAGGGAACAGUUUUCCAAAAAACGUGUGCAAGGAACACCUAUACCCCUUGGAUUCAAGGAAUACCCCAGGAAGAUACAACAACAUACGGGCCUUAUCAUCAAGUUUGGUACGAGUGGGGCUCCGAUUUUGAACAAACAUGUGCCCCCCAAAAACCACGAGGAUGAUAGGAAAUAGCCCGGUACUAGCAGGGAAGGAUAGGAGAGGAACCUUGCCCUUGUAGUACCGAUUGGGAGUCCAAUUGAUAAGAUAGGUAGCAGUGAGAAUGCACAUGUGCAAAAAUACUUAGGGACCCCCAUACCGUAAAAGACAACGAACCACUGAAUAUAUGACGCAUUUUUAUGCUCAGCUACCCCAUUCUGCUAGGUGUAUAAGGACACAUAAGUUGUUGGAGUAUACCACAUUAUUAAGUUCUGCAUGAAAGUCAUUUGUGGGGGGGGACCUACUCUCGACCAUUAUUGGAACAGGAUGUUACGCCACAACUAGGUUAUACUGGGUUUGAUCCUUUGUAAGAAGUUUGGGGGGGAAGAUAAAGUGAGAAAAAUACCUCAGAUUUAUGACGCCUACGUAGACCAAGUACACGCGUGUACCAUCUAUGAGGUUUACAUAAUAGCGGGUUGAGAGAGAGCUAGUAACUGGAGACGGACCCCAUACACUGAAUGAAUAAGGUCAAAGCACUAGGCGAUCGAUGCCAUACAGGAAUAUAAGAUUGCAAGAGUAUGCUUAGAUAACUCACAAACGUACAUUUAAAAUUAAAUUUUUUGACAUACUUUAUUGAAGAGGGAAAAAAAGCCAAAUAAAUAUUGAAAGUUCACAUGCACUAAACGAGUAGCCACAAAUUUAAGGUGGCGACGAAAAAACAGACGACUUUAAACCAGACGGAUUA